GGCCCAUAUCCAUCCUGAAGCAUGGGGAUAAACACAGAGUGCAGGCCUUCGUACGUGGCACUUAACGGAGGAGGAAGACCAGUGAACAAGUGCCAAUAUUAUGCUGUCUACAGUAUUACAGAGGGCGCAGCCACACAGGUUCUUGCAAACGGCAGGCAACAUCGUGAACCUCUGCUUCAUACUGAGGAAGCUAAACCAGAUCUGAAGACGCUCUACAGGAGUUUUGAGCAGUGAGUCAUCCUCAGGUCCUUUUGUGAAAAGUGGGAGCUUUAAGGGAAUAGUCAAGUUAUUUGUUGGCAUGUGUUGGAAAUAUCGUGACUACACAGGGAAGGAAAACCCAAGAAGGGAAAAUGUGAAGAUCUAAAUACUGAAACUGGCUUCCUAAAAUGAAGAGAAAACAAUGGGAUUGCUGAUUAUAAUGACUAGCUAGGGCUCCAUAAGGAUCUGCCCUCAGGACUGCAGGAUGGGGCUCUUUGCCCCUGGACUUGUUUUUCAACCUGCUUGCUCAGGUGGGUGGCGUUGAGGUGGUGACCUUUCCCUGUGCCCUCCAAAACCAUUUUGUCCUUCUUCCAACGUUGCACAAACUCCUGUCAUGACAUCAAGUGUGUGUUUUUUCUCCCAAUACAGUGCAAGCUUCUUUGUGCUUCCCCUGAGUCCAAAGCAGUGCUUAGCACCUAUGAAGCUCUCAACCAAUGUGUCUGCUGAAUGAAAUGGAAUUGAUCUGAACUAGAUUUUAAUGACAAACUAUAACUAAUUCUCAUAGGCAUCUCUCAGAAUGAUAUUAUCCAGACUACACAAAACAACUGAACGCUUAAGCAAUGAAAUGCCAAUUUUAAAUAAAUACAUGCG